UUACAUCAUAAUUCCUAAUAAUAAUUAUAUUUCCAAAUAAUAAAUAAACAGUACACCUCUAGUGAAGAAAAAAGCUUCUGUGCACUAAUACAUUUUUCAGCUAUUGAUCACGUGGGUCCUUGUUUCAUUACUUUGUUUAAAGCUUUAACUAUGAAACUCCAGUGUAGAAGGGGCAAAUGAAUUCUAAUACUAUCUGGAGGAGUACAUGCUCCAAUCACGCAGCCUGUUGUGGCGAAAAACAUCAUUUUUGAUAAUAAAUUCGACUUGCUGAACUAUAUGAACUUUGGACAAUUAUUAGGCUAUAAUAUUAGUCAUAGUUGCAGUUUUAUCUCAACGUCUCGUGGUAUUUUAAGCAACUUUUUGGGAUAAUAUUUGAAAUCCUGAAAAAAUGUUUUUGAUUAGAAAAUUAUGGAUUGACCUAAUGUAUACGACUCAAAAUCAAAGUGGAUAUAUGGUAAAAUGUUUUUUAAAGUAAACUUUAAAAACGUAAUGAAAAUAAUCAUUUAAACUGAUGAAUUUGCCCUUCAAAAAUAAAGUUGUCAAUUUCAAAUUGGGUUUGUAUUUGAUUAUGAAGUAAUUUUUAUUCAAAUAAUAUGAAAUAUUAUAUCCAUAUUAAUCUUUGAAUAAAAAUGUAACUAAUUCAUAACUAUGAUUAUAUAUUUAUAUGUUCGUUGCCGAAAAGAAAGAGAAAGAAAACUUCAUACAUCCUGUAUCAAUUACUCAUAUCCCCAAUUCAUGAGUUUGGAAGGAUUAAAAUGAUCUCAUUUUAAGUAAUUACCUUUAAUUGAGCUGGAAGUUAGAAAAGUCGCAUGUAUUUACACACGGAGUUGAAUGGAUUUAGAAUUACAUAACUAGGUACUCUAAUUCCAAUCAAGUAAUCAUUAUGGAUGAGCUGUAAGCCGGGAAUCAGCAGAGUCACAUGGAUACACUCACGGAAACGGUUUGGAACACAACAUGACUUGGAGUUGUAAAUUUUAAAAUAGCAGCAGAUUGAAGACAGGAUCUCUCAAUAAUAUAAAUCCUACCUUAAGAAACUAUUCGAAUUAUACUCUAGAAAUUAAAUUUAAAUUCUCAGUCACUAAAAUAAUAAAUAAUUUCAUUACAACUA
rnacentral:lncRNA from 1 species